rnacentral:lncRNA from 1 species
CAAAACCACAUGUGCCUCAAUUUGCCCUCCAGAGAAGAGAAGCUUUACUACUAAUCGCAGAUUCCCGGAACCUGCGGGCCGGCCGGCCAAUCCGUCGCCACAGAAGCAGUGAUCCCGGGAAACAAAAAUCAUCACCCCGACUGUCCCGGGUAGUACAAAGAAACAAUCUUUGCGGCGCCCCCGCCCUAUAUAAGCCGCACGCGCGACCAGGCCACCCACUUCCUCCUCAUCAUCUCGAUCAAAGCUUGAUUAAUUAACUGGGUGUUCGUCGAUGCGCUGAGACAUCCGCUCGUUGAGAGGUGGAUUUGUUGAUUCGUGUUUUGUUUUUGUUGUUGGUUUGAUCGCGUCGCGUGAGUGUGUGCAUAUGCGUUGUGCCGCCGUGGCGGAGGCGAGAUCGAUGGACAAGCUGAGCGUGCAGCACGGGCACCACAACGGCAUCUCGAAGCCGCCGGUGCACGGAGGGAAGGGCGGCGGGGGAAGGGGGAGUAGUAGGGGG